UGGGGAAUUUUGGACAAUGGGCGAAAGCCUGAUCCAGCAAUGCCGCGUGUGUGAAGAAGGCCUUCGGGUUGUAAAGCACUUUUGUCCGGAAAGAAAUCCUUGGCUCUAAUACAGUCGGGGGAUGACGGUACCGGAAGAAUAAGCACCGGCUAACUACGUGCCAGCAGCCGCGGUAAUACGUAGGGUGCAAGCGUUAAUCGGAAUUACUGGGCGUAAAGCGUGCGCAGGCGGUUUGCUAAGACCGAUGUGAAAUCCCCGGGCUCAACCUGGGAACUGCAUUGGUGACUGGCAGGCUAGAGUAUGGCAGAGGGGGGUAGAAUUCCACGUGUAGCAGUGAAAUGCGUAGAGAUGUGGAGGAAUACCGAUGGCGAAGGCAGCCCCCUGGGCCAAAUACUGACGCUCAUGCACGAAAGCGUGGGGAGCAAACAGGAUUAGAUACCCUGGUAGUCCACGCCCUAAACGACGUCAACUAGUUGUUGGGGAUUCAUUUCCUUAGUAACGUAGCUAACGCGUGAAGUUGACCGCCUGGGGAGUACGGUCGCAAGAUUAAAACUU
rnacentral:rRNA from 1 species